rnacentral:rRNA from 1 species
UACGUAGGGGGCAAGCGUUGUCCGGAAUCAUUGGGCGUAAAGCGCACGCAGGUGGCUGAGUCAGUCGAUUGUGAAAGCCCUGGGCUUAACCUGGGAAUUGCAGUCGAUACUACUCGGCUUGAGUACGGCAGAGGGAGGUGGAAUUCCACGUGUAGCAGUGAAAUGCGUAGAUAUGUGGAGGAACACCGAUGGCGAAGGCAGCCUCCUGGGCCAGUACUGACGCUCAUGCACGAAAGCGUGGGGAGCAAACAGG